UACGUAGGGUGCAAGCGUUGUCCGGAAUUAUUGGGCGUAAAGAGCUCGUAGGCGGUGUGUCACGUCGUUCGUGAAAACCUGCAGCUUAACUGUGGGCGUGCGGUCGAUACGGGCAUCACUGGAGUUCGGCAGGGGAGACUGGAAUUCCUGGUGUAGCGGUGAAAUGCGCAGAUAUCAGGAGGGAACACCGGUGGCGAAGGCGGGUCUCUGGGCCGAUACUGAC
rnacentral:rRNA from 1 species